rnacentral:rRNA from 1 species
AACGAACGCUGGCGGCAUGCCUAACACAUGCAAGUCGAACGAGACCUUCGGGUCUAGUUGCGCACGGGUGCGUAACGCGUGGGAACCUGCCCUUAGGUUCGGAAUAACUCCCCGAAAGGGGUGCUAAUACCGGAUAAUGUCUUCGGACCAAAGAUUUAUCGCCUUUGGAUGGGCCCGCGUUGGAUUAGCUAGUUGGUAGGGUAAAAGCCUACCAAGGCGACGAUCCAUAGCUGGUCUGAGAGGAUGAUCAGCCACACUGGGACUGAGACACGGCCCAGACUCCUACGGGAGGCAGCAGUGGGGAAUAUUGGACAAUGGGCGAAAGCCUGAUCCAGCAAUGCCGCGUGAGUGAUGAAGGCCUUAGGGUUGUAAAGCUCUUUUACACGGGAUGAUAAUGACAGUACCGGGAGAAUAAGCUCCGGCUAACUACGUG